rnacentral:rRNA from 1 species
AACGAACGCUGGCGGCAGGCUUAACACAUGCAAGUCGAACGCACCUUUCGGGGUGAGUGGCCGACGGGUGAGUAACGCGUGGGAAUCUACCCUUCUCUACGGGAUAGCUCCGGGAAACUGGAAUUAAUACCGUAUACGUCCUGAGGGAGAAAGAUUUAUCGGGGAAGGAUGAGCCCGCGUUGGAUUAGCUAGUUGGUGGGGUAAAGGCCUACCAAGGCGACGAUCCAUAGCUGGUCUAAGAGGAUGAUCAGCCACAUUGGGACUGAGACACGGCCCAAACUCCUACGGGAGGCAGCAGUGGGGAAUAUUGGACAAUGGGCGCAGGCCUGAUCCAGCCAUGCCGCGUGAGUGAUGAAGGCCCUAGGGUUGUAAAGCUCUUUCAGUGGGGACGAUAAUGACGGUACCCACAGAAGAAGCCCCGGCUAACUUCGUG